rnacentral:lncRNA from 1 species
UCAGAGCCCCCACAGGUCACCAUGGAACUGUACCUCCUGCUGGGCAAGGCCUCACUCAUUCCAAUGUCCCCAAAAGUGACCACUGCUCAGAGCUAAGCAGACCUUCUCAGAUUCUCUUCAGCAUCUUAGGGAACCUUGGGGCCUUUGAUGUUUAUGGUUGUGAGAUUCAGCGCCAUGGAUUCCCUGGUUUGAGAGAAAAACAACAUAGACACUUCAUGGACUUGCAGGGUUGUAGGCUGGAUCCACUGCCAACACUUAAGGCCGAGAAGUACAACACCAGAAAUACAAAUUGGAACAAUAA